rnacentral:misc_RNA from 1 species
GAUGAAGAACGCAGCGAAAUGCGAUACGUAAUGUGAAUUGCAGAAUUCAGUGAAUCAUCGAAUCUUUGAACGCAUAUUGCGCUCUUUGGUAUUCCGAAGAGCAUGCUUGUUUGAGUAUCAGUAAACACCUCAAAGCUUUUGGAUUUUUUAAUCGAAAAGCUUUGGACUUGAGCAAUCCCAACACCAAUCUUUUUGAGAUCGGUGGCGGGUUGCUUGAAAUGCAGGUGCAGCUGGACAUUCUCCUGAGCUAAAAGCAUAUUCAUUUAGUCCCGUCAAACGGAUUAUUACUUUUGCUGCAGCUAACAUAAAGGGAGUUUGACCGUAUUGGCUGACUGAUGCAGGAUUUCACAAGGGUCGGGAACGAUUCUUGUUAAACUCGAUCUCAAAUCAAGUAAGACUACCCGCUGAACUUAAGCAUAUCAAUAAGCGGAGGA